GUCAUCCAUGAAUCAGGGGGAAAAAAUAAUGAGAUCCUUUAGCAUCUUUUCAGUGACCUGGUGGCUUCACAUGAGCUGGGUGAGCUGUCAACAGAAAGAGGUGGAGCAGCAUCAUGAGUCCCUCAGUGUUCCAGAAGGAGCUACCGCUUCUCUCAACUGCACUUACAGAGACAGUGCUUCUCAGUACUUCUGGUGGUACAGACAGUAUUCCGGGAAGGGCCCUGAACUGCUGGUGUCUGCAUACUCUAAUGGCGAUAAACAGGAGGGAAGAUUCACAGCACAUCUCAAUAGAGGCAGCCUUUAUCUUUCUCUGCACAUCAGAGACUCCCAGUCCAGUGACUCAGCCACCUACCUCUGUGCAGUGAGUGCACAGUGCUCUCCUGACACCUGCAGACUGAACCCAAAUCUAUGGGGGCCCCAGUAAGGCCUGAGCUGCAGCACAGACCCCAGAGCAGAGAAAUUCUGCUACAUUCUAGAUGCUGUAGGAGUUAAGAGCAAUAGCAGGGAGGGUUUGAGUAAUUGAA